ACUGAUGUCGAGCUUGCGUCCCUGGAUAGUUAGCGGCGGACGGGUGAGUAACACGUGGGUAACCUGCCUGUAAGACUGGGAUAACUCCGGGAAACCGGGGCUAAUACCGGAUGGUUGUUUGAACCGCAUGGUUCAAACAUAAAAGGUGGCUUCGGCUACCACUUACAGAUGGACCCGCGGCGCAUUAGCUAGUUGGUGAGGUAACGGCUCACCAAGGCAACGAUGCGUAGCCGACCUGAGAGGGUGAUCGGCCACACUGGGACUGAGACACGGCCCAGACUCCUACGGGAGGCAGCAGUAGGGAAUCUUCCGCAAUGGACGAAAGUCUGACGGAGCAACGCCGCGUGAGUGAUGAAGGUUUUCGGAUCGUAAAGCUCUGUUGUUAGGGAAGAACAAGUACCGUUCGAAUAGGGCGGUACCUUGACGGUACCUAACCAGAAAGCCACGGCUAACUACGUGCCCAGCAGCCGCGGUAAUACGUAGGUGGCAAGCGUUGUCCGGAAUUAUUGGGCGUAAAGGGCUCGCAGGCGGUUUCUUAAGUCUGAUGUGAAAGCCCCCGGCUCAACCGGGGAGGGUCAUUGGAAACUGGGGAACUUGAGUGCAGAAGAGGAGAGUGGAAUUCCACGUGUAGCGGUGAAAUGCGUAGAGAUGUGGAGGAACACCAGUGGCGAAGGCGACUCUCUGGUCUGUAACUGACGCUGAGGAGCGAAAGCGUGGGGAGCGAACAGGAUUAGAUACCCUGGUAGUCCACGCCGUAAACGAUGAGUGCUAAGUGUUAGGGGGUUUCCGCCCCUUAGUGCUGCAGCUAACGCAUUAAGCACUCCGCCUGGGGAGUACGGUCGCAAGACUGAAACUCAAAGGAAUUGACGGGGGCCCGCACAAGCGGUGGAGCAUGUGGUUUAAUUCGAAGCAACGCGAAGAACCUUACCAGGUCUUGACAUCCUCUGACAAUCCUAGAGAUAGGACGUCCCCUUCGGGGGCAGAGUGACAGGUGGUGCAUGGUUGUCGUCAGCUCGUGUCGUGAGAUGUUGGGUUAAGUCCCGCAACGAGCGCAACCCUUGAUCUUAGUUGCCAGCAUUCAGUUGGGCACUCUAAGGUGACUGCCGGUGACAAACCGGAGGAAGGUGGGGAUGACGUCAAAUCAUCAUGCCCCUUAUGACCUGGGCUACACACGUGCUACAAUGGACAGAACAAAGGGCAGCGAAACCGCGAGGUUAAGCCAAUCCCACAAAUCUGUUCUCAGUUCGGAUCGCAGUCUGCAACUCGACUGCGUGAAGCUGGAAUCGCUAGUAAUCGCGGAUCAGCAUGCCGCUGUGAAUACGUUCCCGGGCCUUGUACACUUUGCCCGUCACCCC
rnacentral:rRNA from 1 species